GGAAAUGUUUGAGAAAGAGGAGUCUAAAUUGUGACUAUCUCAUCGGAUUUUCUGUCAAAGAUAUCAAUUGAACGAGGAGAUGAAAUAUUGCGUCAGUGAUACAACCUCAAGGAAUAACGAGUAACCCAAGCAUAAAAUGGGAUAGUUCUCGAAAAAAAUGACAUUCUACAUUCCUGCAUACACAUCUGGUCAUGUUACCUAGUCCAAUUGAUUGAAGAAGCCACAAAUCCUGUACCCUUGAGCUGUGAUGGAUUGGAUUGAAGAUGAUACAAAUCCUAUACCAUUGAGUUGUGGUGGGAUGGAUGAAAGAAACCAAAUUUUAUCUCCCUGAAGUCGCAGUGUUGCUAACCAGCUGAGCA
rnacentral:lncRNA from 1 species